rfam:Oryza barthii chromosome 4, whole genome shotgun sequence.
AAAAAGGCAAACUGUGAGUUCCCAUGCCAAUGUUUGAUUGUCCGUCUUAUAUGAAUUUUUUUUAUAAUUAGCAUUUUCAUUAUUGUUAGAUGAUAAAACAUGAUUAAUACUUUAUACGUGACUUAUCUUUUUAAUUUUUUUAUAUUUUUUUCAAUUAAGACGGACGGUUAAACGUUGCACACGGAAAUCAGGGUUUGUCUUUUU